GAAAUGCGAUAAGUAAUGUGAAUUGCAGAAUUCAGUGAAUCAUCGAAUCUUUGAACGCACCUUGCGCCCCUUGGUAUUCCGAGGGGCACGCCUGUUUGAGUGUCGUGAACUUCUCACCCCCACCCCCUUUUCGGAGGGCGGCUUGCGGGCGUGGACGUGGAGGCCUUGCCGGAAAAUGGGGGAAACUCCUUUUCGGCUCCUCUGAAAUGCAUUAGCGGAGACCCCAGCGUUGGGCCCCUUCGGCGUGAUAAUUGUCUACGUCGCAAGGUCAACGCGAGCGACUCCGCUUCGAACCCGCCCGUCGACGUGUACGCCGCGAGGCGCGCACGGCGCAGCGCAUGAAUUAACGAAACUUGACCUCAAAUCAGGCGGGACUACCCGCUGAACUUAA
rnacentral:rRNA from 1 species